UCUCUGCAAUAACCAACCUGGGUUCUCUCCUAAUGUGGGGAUUGUCCUGGAGCCCAGGCCUUCGAAGGCUCUUCUGCCCGCCAACAUCACCUACCUCAUCUUUCUCUUCAGCACAUCCCCAACACUGUCUAAGCGGUAACUCACCUGAGCAAAGCACUUGACACAGAUUCAUUCAUUUACUCCUCACAACAACCUGAUGAGAGUACUGAUUAACUUCAAAGGGGAAAAACAAUAACCUUUACAAUGGAUAGAUCUGGCAGGAACCAUGUUACCCAAGUGAUCAAAGGGAGCAUCACCAAUAAUGGGGCAAACCGACAUCCUGUGCUUCCCCAUUGAUGCGCCGAGAAGGACACAGCAUUGCUCAUGCGGCAUCCUUGUCAAAAAUGCGUAAACGGAAUCUAAUCAUGAGAAAACUGCCAGACAGCCAAACUCUUCAGAAAUGUCAAUAUAAUGAAAGGCAACAAAGAUUGAGAAUAACUUUACCAGGUUAAAGAAAACUAAAGAGAUAUGACAACUGACUGCAACACAGAAUCCUGGACCAGACCCUGGAUCUGGUCAAAAGAAAAAUGCUUUAAAUGACAGUAUUGGGACAAAGGGUAAAAUUUGAAUGUGGAUCAUGUAAUAGAUGAAUAAUGUAUUGUAUCAAUGAUA